AGGAAAUUCUAUGGGUAGAAAAUGAUGGUUACAUCAGUAUAAUAAAGUUAAUAACUUUAUUUAUUAAGAGUUCGAAUCUCUUGUUUCCUG
rnacentral:tRNA from 1 species